CCGGCCUUAGCUCAGUUGGUAGUAGCGGCAGACUGUAGCAGCGCCUUUAUUGAGAUCAAUGGCGCCACAGGCAUCUGUAGGUCCCCGGUUCAACUCCGGGAGGCCGGA